GAUGAACGCUGGCGGCGUGCCUAAUACAUGCCAGUCGAGCGAACAGACGAGGAGCUUGCUCCUCUGACGUUAGCGGCGGACGGGUGAGUAACACGUGGAUAACCUACCUAUAAGACUGGGAUAACUUCGGGAAACCGGAGCUAAUACCGGAUAAUAUAUUGAACCGCAUGGUUCAAUAGUGAAAGACGGUUUUGCUGUCACUUAUAGAUGGAUCCGCGCCGCAUUAGCUAGUUGGUAAGGUAACGGCUUACCAAGGCAACGAUGCGUAGCCGACCUGAGAGGGUGAUCGGCCACACUGGAACUGAGACACGGUCCAGACUCCUACGGGAGGCAGCAGUAGGGAAUCUUCCGCAAUGGGCGAAAGCCUGACGGAGCAACGCCGCGUGAGUAAUGAAGGUCUUCGGAUCGUAAAACUCUGUUAUUAGGGAAGAACAAAUGUGUAAGUAACUAUGCACGUCUUGACGGUACCUAAUCAGAAAGCCACGGCUAACUACGUG
rnacentral:rRNA from 1 species